UACGUAGGUGGCAAGCGUUGUCCGGAUUUACUGGGCGUAAAGAGCGCGCAGGCGGUCGUUCAAGUCGCGUGUGAAAGCCCCCGGCUCAACUGGGGAGGGUCACGCGAUACUGAUCGACUGGAAGGCAGGAGAGGGUAGUGGAAUUCCUGGUGUAGCGGUGAAAUGCGCAGAUAUCAGGAGGAACACCGGUGGCGAAGGCGGGUCUCUGGGCCGAUACUGCGUGAGGAGCGAAAGCGUGGGGAGCGAACAGG
rnacentral:rRNA from 1 species